rnacentral:tRNA from 1 species
CAUAGCACAGUGGAUUAGCGCGUUUGACUUCGGAUCAAAAGGUCGUGGGUUAGACACAAACACCCACUG